rnacentral:tRNA from 1 species
GAGGUAAUACUUUAAAUUAGAAGAACUAAUUUGCAAUUAGUAAGUAGUAACCCUUUACCUUA